GAUGAACGCUGGCGGCGUGCCUAAUACAUGCAAGUCGAGCGAACGGACGAGAAGCUUGCUUCUCUGAUGUUAGCGGCGGACGGGUGAGUAACACGUGUAUAACCUACCUAUAAGACUGGGAUAACUUCGGGAAACCGGAUCUAAUACCGGAUGAUAUUUUGAACCGCAUGGUUCAAAAGUGAAAGACGGUCUUGCUGUCACUUAUAGAUGGAUCCGCGCUGCAUUAGUUAGUUGGUAAGGUAACGGCUUACCAAGGCAACGAUGCAUAGCCGACCUGGGAGGGUGAGCGGCCACACUGGAACUGAGACACGGUCAAGACUCCUACGGGAGGCAGCAGUAGGGAAUCUUCCGCAAUGGGCGAAAGCCUGACGGAGCAACGCCGCGUGAGUGAUGAAGGUCUUCGGAUCGUAAAACUCUGUUAUUAGGGAAGAACAUAUGUGUAAGUAACUGUGCACAUCUUGACGGUACCUAAUCAGAAAGCCACGGCUAACUACGUG
rnacentral:rRNA from 1 species